AGGUAAGAAUACAUGGUGCAAGUGGUAAAUUCUUAUCUUUGGUAUUUAUGUAAAUUUGGCAUGAAAUACUAUAUGGCCUUCGGCUCGAAUUAUAUGUUAAAUCCUUCGGGAUGAAUCGUCAGGUCAAGAAAAGAAGUUAAAUCCUAUGGGAUGGACCUUUGUGUCAAUAAUAUAUAAAUCCUAGGGAAUAUAGGAAUUCUUAUGAAAUUUCUUGAACGAUUGGAUGUUUCGACCAGUAUGCUCUAAAUCUAAGAAAUGUCGGUGUGCCAUGUCAUGUCAGUUUUAUAUUUAUAUCAUGUGAAUAAGAAUGUGUUCGUAUUCUUAUUGAGUGUUUUCAAAAUACUCACUCUUACAAUAUUUUCAGAUGAGAACGGGUCGUGUGGACACGUGGAAGAUUGACAGAGUGAUAUUAAUGGGGUCGUCAAGUAAAUUUUCUAGAAAGAUAAUUGUCCACUUUUAUUUGAAGAAUAUCGCAUGCAUAUUAUUUAAUAUGUUGUUCAAGCAUUUGAUAUGUUAUGUUAAAUUUUAAAUUAAUAAUUUAAAAUCAAGUAUUUUCGAUAUAUUUCCGCUUAAAUUAGAUAGAGAAAAGUUUUGGUAGCACCUCUAGCUUAUUUUAAUUUAAAAAUAAUAUAAUAA
rnacentral:lncRNA from 1 species